UGGGGAAUCUUGGACAAUGGGGGCAACCCUGAUCCAGCCAUGCCGCGUGAGUGAUGAAGGCCUUAGGGUCGUAAAGCUCUUCGCCUGUGAAGAUAAUGACGGUAGCAGGUAAAGAAACCCCGGCUAACUCCGUGCCAGCAGCCGCGGUAAUACGGAGGGGGUUAGCGUUGUUCGGAAUUACUGGGCGUAAAGCGCACGUAGGCGGACCAGAAAGUUGGGGGUGAAAUCCCGGGGGCUCAACCCCGGAACUGCCUCCAAAACUAUUGGUCUAGAGUUCGAGAGAGGUGAGUGGAAUUCCAAGUGUAGAGGUGAAAUUCGUAGAUAUUUGGAGGAACACCAGUGGCGAAGGCGGCUCACUGGCUCGAUACUGACGCUGAGGUGCGAAAGUGUGGGGAGCAAACAGGAUUAGAUA
rnacentral:rRNA from 1 species